AGAGUUUGAUCCUGGCUCAGAACAAACGCUGGCGGCGUGCCUAAUACAUGCAAGUCGAACGGGGAAAGUAGCAAUAUGAGUACUAGUGGCGCACGGGUGAGUAAUACGUAGGUAAUCUGCCCCAAAGUGUGGGAUAACUAGUCGAAAGAUUAGCUAAUACCACAUAAGACCACAGAAGCUUCGGCUUCAGAGGUCAAAGGUUUUUCGCUUUGGGAUGAGCCUGCGCGGGAUUAGCUAGUUGGUAGGGUAAUGGCCUACCAAGGCUACGAUCUCUAACUGGUCUGAGAGGAUGAUCAGUCACACUGGAACUGAGACACGGUCCAGACUCCUACGGGAGGCAGCAGUAGGGAAUAUUGCACAAUGGAGGAAACUCUGAUGCAGCGACGCCGCGUGAGUGAUGAAGGACUUCGGUUCGUAAAGCUCUGUUGUAGGGGAAAAAGAAAGUGAUUGUACCCUGCGAGAAAGGAUCGGCUAACUUCGUGCCAGCAGCCGCGGUAAGACGAGGGAUCCUAGCGUUGUUCGGAAUCAUUGGGCGUAAAGCGGAUGUAGGUGGCUUAAUAAGUCAGGUGUGAAAGCCCAGGGCUCAACCUUGGAAGUGCAUUUGAUACUGUUAAGCUUGAGUGCUAGAGAGGUUACUGGAAUUCCUGGUGUAGUGGUGAAAUACGUAGAUAUCAGGAGGAACACCGGAGGCGAAGGCGGGUAACUGGCUAGACACUGACACUCAGAUCCGAAAGCGUAGGUAUCAAACAGGAUUAGAUACCCUGGUAAUCUACGCUGUAAACGAUGGAUACUUGUUGUUGGAGGUAUUGACCCCUUCAGUGACGAAGCUAACGCGUUAAGUAUCCCGCCUGGGGAGUACGGUCGCAAGAUUAAAACUCAAAGAAAUUGACGGGGGCCCGCACAAGCGGUGGAGUAUGUGGUUUAAUUCGAUGCAACGCGCAAAACCUUACCUAGGUUUGACAUGCACUGGAAGAGUGGCAGAAAUGUCCUCGCCCGCAAGGGUCGGUGCACAGGUGCUGCAUGGCUGUCGUCAGCUCGUGUCGUGAGAUGUUGGGUUAAGUCCCGCAACGAGCGCAACCCCUGCCUUUAGUUGCUACGAAAGGGCACUCUAAUGGGACUGCCGGUGACAAACCGGAGGAAGGUGGGGAUGACGUCAAGUCCUCAUGGCCCUUAUAGGUGGGGCUACACACGUCAUACAAUGGCCGGUACAAAGGGCAGCCAACCCGCGAGGGGGAGCCAAUCCCGUAAAGCCGGUCGUAGUCCGGAUCGCAGUCUGCAACUCGACUGCGUGAAGUCGGAAUCGCUAGUAAUCGUGGAUCAGCAUGUCACGGUGAAUACGUUCCCGGGUCUUGUACACACCGCCCGUCACACCAUGGGAGCGGGUCUCGCCAGAAGUAGUUAGCCUAACCGCAAGGAGGGCGAUUACCACGGCGGGGUUCGUGACUGGGGUGAAGUCGUAACAAGGUAGCCGUA
rnacentral:rRNA from 1 species